AUCUCACAUUUCUGCAUUUUCAAGAUUUGGUAAACUACAAAUUUUGAUAAAAGGGUUUAUCAAAACAACCCUUUUGUUUUGAUAAAUGUCAAAUAUACAUUAAAAAUACGGUACAAAAACAUGCAAACUUUAUGUGUUACUUUUGGAUGACACAGCUAAAACGCUUGCAAAUGUUGAAAGUGAAAGAAUUGCUGGGGGAAUUCCUCGAUGACUUCUGUUCAGUUAGGUGUAGGAGGCAAGUAGCACAUAAGAGUUUCACACCCUCCUACAUGCCGGCUCAACCUGUCCUAAACCAACUAACCACAUGGAAGAAAUUAAUGCAAGCAAACCAAGUUGGCUAUGAGAAGCGACAGAACAUCCUGCUUCUGCAGCAAAGCGCUACGCUCUGUCAGAAUUGCAAAAACAGGUUACGGCAUGGCGGAAAGAGGACUUCACUCAUGUAAAAAAAGCUGAAUGCAUGUUGUGUUUGUAGCGAGUGAUGGACCGACAGCCGGGUGGAUGCACAUGUUUGCCAGCACCCU